rnacentral:rRNA from 1 species
AGUGAACGCUGGCGGUAGGCCUAACACAUGCAAGUCGAACGGCAGCACAGUAAGAGUGUGCUCUUACGGGUGGCGAGUGGCGGACGGGUGAGGAAUACAUCGGAAUCUACUUUUUCGGGGGGGAUAACGUAGGGAAACUUACGCUAAUACCGCAUACGACGUACCGGGGAAAGCAGUGGAUCUUCGGGCCUUGCGCGAUUGAAUGAGCCGAUGUCGGGUUAGCUAGUGGGGUGGGUAAAGGCCCACCAAGGCGAGGAUCCGCAGCUGGUCUGAGAGGAUGGUAGCCCACCCUGGAACGUGGACACGGUCAAGACUACUACGGGAGGCAGCAGUGGGGAACAUUGGGCAAUGGGGGGAAGCCUUACCCAGCCAUACCGCGUGGGUGACGAAGGCCUUCCGGUUGUAAAGCCCUUUUGUUGGGAAAGAACAGCUGUCGGUUAAUACCCCGCUGUUGUGACGGUACCCAAUGAAUAAGCACCGGCUAACUUCGUG